rnacentral:rRNA from 1 species
UACAGAGGGUGCGAGCGUUGUCCGGAAUCACUGGGCGUAAAGGGCGCGUAGGCGGCCUGAUAAGUCGGGGGUGAAAUCCUGUGGCUUAACCACAGGGCUGCCUCCGAGACUGUCGGGCUCGAGCACAGUAGAGGCAGGUGGAAUUCCCGGUGUAGCGGUGAAAUGCGUAGAGAUCGGGAGGAACAUCAGUGGCGAAGGCGGCCAUCUGGGACAACACUGACGCUGAAGCACGAAAGCGUGGGGAGCAAACAGG